rnacentral:rRNA from 1 species
AUUGAACGCUGGCGGCAUGCCUUACACAUGCAAGUCGAACGGUAACAGGUCUUCGGAUGCUGACGAGAGGCGAACGGGUGAGUAAUACAUCGGAACGUGCCUAGUAGUGGGGGAUAACUACUCGAAAGAGUGGCUAAUACCGCAUGAGAUCUACGGAUGAAAGCAGGGGAUCGCAAGACCUUGUGCUACUAGAGCGGCCAAUGGCAGAUUAGGUAGUUGGUGGGAUAAAAGCUUACCAAGCCGACGAUCUGUAGCUGGUCUGAGAGGACGAUCAGCCACACUGGGACUGAGACACGGCCCAGACUCCUACGGGAGGCAGCAGUGGGGAAUUUUGGACAAUGGGCGCAAGCCUGAUCCAGCAAUGCCGCGUGCAGGAUGAAGGCCUUCGGGUUGUAAACUGCUUUUGUACGGAACGAAAAGCCCUGGGUUAAUACCCUGGGGUCAUGACGGUACCGUAAGAAUAAGCACCGGCUAACUACGUGCCAGCCGCCGCAGUAAUAC